rnacentral:rRNA from 1 species
AACGGCUCACCAAGGCAACGAUGCGUAGCCGACCUGAGAGGGUGAUCGGCCACACUGGGACUGAGACACGGCCCAGACUCCUACGGGAGGCAGCAGUAGGGAAUCUUCCGCAAUGGACGAAAGUCUGACGGAGCAACGCCGCGUGAGUGAUGAAGGUUUUCGGAUCGUAAAGCUCUGUUGUUAGGGAAGAACAAGUACCGUUCGAAUAGGGCGGUACCUUGACGGUACCUAACCAGAAAGCCACGGCUAACUACGUGCCAGCAGCCGCGGUAAUACGUAGGUGGCAAGCGUUGUCCGGAAUUAUUGGGCGUAAAGGGCUCGCAGGCGGUUUCUUAAGUCUGAUGUGAAAGCCCCCGGCUCAACCGGGGAGGGUCAUUGGAAACUGGGGAACUUGAGUGCAGAAGAGGAGAGUGGAAUUCCACGUGUAGCGGUGAAAUGCGUA